GAUGAACGCUGGCGGCGUGCCUAAUACAUGCAAGUCGAGCGAACAGACGAGAAGCUUGCUCCUCUGACGUUAGCGGCGGACGGGUGAGUAACACGUGGAUAACCUACCUAUAAGACUGGGAUAACUUCGGGAAACCGGAGCUAAUACCGGAUAAUAUAUUGAACCGCAUGGUUCAAUAGUGAAAGACGGUUUUGCUGUCACUUAUAGAUGGAUCCGCGCUGCAUUAGCUAGUUGGUAAGGUAACGGCUUACCAAGGCAACGCUGCGUAGCCGACCUGAGAGGGUGAUCGGCCACACUGGAACUGAGACACGGUCCAGACUCCUACGGGAGGCAGCAGUAGGGAAUCUUCCGCAAUGGGCGAAAGCCUGACGGAGCAACGCCGCGUGAGUGAUGAAGGUCUUCGGAUCGUAAAACUCUGUUAUUAGGGAAGAACAAAUGUGUAAGUAACUAUGCACGUCUUGACGGUACCUAAUCAGAAAGCCACGGCUAACUACGUG
rnacentral:rRNA from 1 species